rnacentral:lncRNA from 1 species
UGGAACAGGCUUUCCUCUGUGGCCAGGUGAGAAGCAGGUGGUGAGACACAGAGCAGUGCUGGGCUCUGCUUCUGAAGCCUCCAACCUUUCCUUCCCUAGGAAGCCCCAGAGAGAUUGGUGAGGGUGAUUUCCCAGGAAGACGCAGUGUGCUCUGACUUCUGUGACAGUGAGCAACGGGACCAGUGGAUGUCCAGAUGCUGGCAAUGAGUAGGCCUUCCCUACGCUGGGUGGCGUCCACACCCUCCGGCUUCCAUUGCCUGGGUCUCCUGGAGGUGGUUUGCUGGAUGAAUACCGCAUGCACAGAGGCUGGCCUUGGGUUUGAAUAUGGCAGCCAGUGGACAGCAUGUGCUUCAGUUAUGAGACUGCCCAGGAGAUGCUUCUUCCAAGGCAGAGCACGUGCAGAGUCCAGUGCUGGAGAGGCCGGGUGCGCAGUUGACCCAUUUCCAGUUCUGUUUUCCCUCUCAUGUUCCUCUGUCCCCAUCUAGGACAUGCUCUGGAGUCAGAAGACAGCGAAAAGAGAAGCAGAAGCCCCGGUGGCAAGAGUCUGAAGCAGGAAGGAUGACUGUAGCCUGUGGAUUGUACUGCAGUAGGAAACUGUCCUAGCAAGGCUCCACUUUGCCCCAGCUUCAAGGUAUAUCGUCUCAAAAUGCAGGGGACUUCAGAUGAGUUUUGAGCACCCUUUCUUUUAUUAUAAAAAAAAUUCCAGACAGUUCAGCCAAUACUGACUAAGGGCUGAGACCAGUUCCAUGCUUUUCUGUCUCCAGAGGAAUUUGCUUCCAUCUGGAUGCCUGAAACGGUAUUUUACUUCACCUCCUGUGUCACCGGCAGCAGUCCUGGGAGCCCUGGGGAGGAGGUUUUUGGGAGAGCCAGCUCACAGCCUCUCCAUCACCUUUUAGCCACCCCAGUGCUGGGCAGCCAGGGUGUGGGCUUUUGACUGAAUGCACUUGCCCUCCUGCAUUCAUUACACCAUUGUCAGUGUGUGUGUCUGGGGCUGCCUCUGGGUGUGCAUGGUUUUUUUUGUGUCUGCGUGUCAGUGUCAGGCUAUGUGUGUCUGUUUCUGUCGGCCUGUCUAGGCGCGCUCAGUGCAACAAGGAGCUGGGGGAGGUGGCGGUAAAGAGGAAGGGCAUUUCAAAGCCCAGCUGUCCUCCUCAGGGACCUCAGGAGAUGCGUGUGUGUGUGUGUGUGUGUGUGUGUGUGUGUGUGUGUGUAUUUUUUUCCAUGCUGCUCAUUGUGUGGGGCUGCAUGCGAGUGUCUGACCAGGUGUGGUGUGAGCAGCCGCUGGGCUGGGUGAGCCCCAUCUGCCGUGAGCUCCCAGACUUGCCUUCUAGCCCUCUGCCGCCAUCCAUGGGGAGCCUCUCCCUUCGCAGCUCACCGUCUCUUCUCUAAUUUAUUAGCUGGAAAGGAGGAGAACAUGAAACAUUGCUUGAAGACAAUGGCCGAGACAGCAGGUCCCACCCUGCACAGCCACCAGCAUCUCUCCCCUCAGCCCUGUCUCCUCUUCUGCAGUUGGGAUCUGCACAUUUAAGCCUGAAAUUGUCCUGUGAAGUGAAGUAUGAUCGGACAGCCUCUUUUCAGCUUUUAUGACAAUGGAGACAGAGGAAUUGUGGCUCUUGCCAAGGUCACAGGAUUGGAAUACAGAGCCAAGCCACCCCAGGACAUGCAAGAGCCUCAGAAGGGAAAAAAGCCCAGCAGGAAGGGAGAACAAGUAGCCUCUGUCCUGAAGUUGUAACAGCCAGGGGCCAGGAUGGAGGAGGAGGACCCCAUAAUCUGCCCAUCUGGGACUUGGCAGGGGACCUGGGAAAAUGUACCCCAACCCAUCCCUUAAGGGCCUUUGUCUUUGGCCCAUUGGCCUAGCAUCUACUUCUUCACCGUGUCUGUUCUUGUCACACCUAGUCAGGUCUGUUUGGGUCUGAGGUGCAUGGAACAUUCUGGGUAGGCCUCCAGCAAACGGAAGCUCUUCACCGUGUUUCCAGCCUGGGACCAAGGGCAGCAUACUGGCAAAGUUGCCAAAGCAAGGGACUCCAGCCUCUUAGGAGUUAAUGACUCCCUCUCCCCAGCUGUCCUCCCCUUGGUGCUCCUCUUCCUCCCUCCUCCUGCUCACAGCAGGCAGGGCCUAGACCCGGGAGCCAUGCUGCUGUGCUGUUGCCAGGGGAGCACGGAGGCAGAUCUGAGCUAUGCAGGGAAAAGGCCCAGCCUGUCAAAGUGUCUGAGAUGAACCGCCGCCGUCCCUGUGCAGCUGGGCUCAGACGUGUCUCAGCUCUUGUUCUGUGCCUGAGAAUGGCGAAACCCAGUGAGGUUCAAGGGCAAACUCGCUAUUCAUUAGUCAGGGGUUCUUGACGUCCCGUCUCUCCCAGGGAUGAGUUCCCCCCUCCUCUUUCUCCCCCUCCUAUGACACAUUCCUGGGUGCCUUUGGUGAGGACUGCACACCCUCCUCCUGCCUAGCCCCCUCUCCAAAGGCCCCUGAAUAAACUCCCCCCAAGGAGACCAGGCAGGGCAGAGACAAUGGCUGCAGGAAAUCAUUCAGGCGGGACAUGCUGGCCUGCCCUCCACCCAGUCCCCCUGUGGGCCCCACUCCCUUCUGAUUCAGGGCACCCUUGGGCCCCCAGCCUAUACAGGCCUGGACAGGAAGAAACCACUGGGAACCACCCUAAGGACAACAUGCUAGUCCAGUGCCAUUCUUCGCUGGCUCUGUGGGUGCCUUUGUGGCCUGUACCGACUGGCUGGCUAAUUUUGUGGUUUCUGUACCAUCACAUGCCUAUUUUAAGACACUCUCCAGCACUGUCGGUUAGGGAGUGUAAAUUUUGCAAUAUUUUCUGAAAUGUGGCAAUAUCAAAAUGUAAAAGGCACACAUACUUGGUCACAAACAAAUGGCACUAUUUACUCUGUGGGCAUAUUUGUAAAAGUUGCCAAAGAAUUAUAUACAAGGAUGUUCAUCAGAGCAUUUCUUUUGAAGAGUAAAGAAAUGGACAUGAACCUGUGGUCCGUUCAUACGGUGGAAUACCUAUGCAGCUGUAAAAAUCAGUGUGGUAGAUCUCCGUAUAUGAGUUGAUGUGGAAGGUUGGCCAGUUCACAUGAUAAGGUGAAUAGAAUAAGUUACAGAACAGGCUGUAGAGUAUGAUCUUAUUUGUAGAUGUUUAAAACUGAGUCAUAAGUAUGCUUAUAUACAGAUCGUUUCUGGAAGUAUGUACUGGAAGUCUACCUCUGGGGAGUGGGGAUGGGGGAGUGCACUCUUCUAUACUGUUAUAUUUUCUUUUCAUGCUCCUAAGGUACUUUUAUUGGAAGAUGUAAAGCGGUUCAAUGUAAUAGGCUUAACUUCUGUCAACUAAGUUGGCGUGGGUGCUUUAAGAGGGUGGUAGUGAUGUUGCUGGAGAAAGUAUCCCACAGUCACUGGUGGCUUCAGCCACGGGCCAUUUUGGGGCCUAAUAAUCACAUAUCAUCAUGGUUGCUAGUGUUAAUCGAAAACCUACUAAGUGCCAGGCUUACUGUCUCUGGGUCUUGCUUACGUGGAUGUCAUUUUUCCAGUUGCACCAAAUCGAAAGAGGUUAAUUGGUUUGUUGGAGUUCCUUUGUAGGUGAAGGGCAGAGCCAGGAGCUUGGCUAGGGACAGGGGAGGUGAGUGGGGGAUGGUGGAUAGGUCUUGGCUCCCAGUUUCCUUCUGGGCAGACAUUGCCCCUCUGCCCUGAGGACCUGCUUGUUUGGGGGAAGAGGCCUUUAGAGGCACCAGGGUCAUGCCAGGUGUUGGACAUGGUGAACUGGGAAGUGCUCCCAUCUGGCCACAGCGCAGAAGUAUCACCGUGCUGGGGGAUGGGGAACAGGGCUGUGAAUGGGCCUAUUUGCAUAAGCAGCAUGUGUCUGGAGAGAAAGACAUCACAGAGCAGAAGAGUGCGGGUGCCCAGGAGUGCACUUGCCACCCCUACUUCAUCCCUGAAAGAGUAAAUGGCCUGGAAGGUGUCUCUGAGAGGUAAUGCCGCACACCACCCUCCCUGGGGGCAGGGUCAGGCUACACCUGCCUUAGGUCGGGGGCUGCAGCAGCCUGAGAGCUCUCAGUAGGGCCUCAGUAGCCUGGGAGGGAGCAGGGGCAGGGGGCAGGGAAAGAGGCGUAAUGGGGCUGUCCAGAGGGGCCUGGGAAACCUGGUCCCUGAGGCCUGGGCACAGCUACAAUCACUUCAAAUUGGCUGUGGGGCCAGUGGACUGGGAAGGAAAAAAGCAAUAAGAGUGACCAAGUGCAGAAGGCUGUCAGGUCCCAGGUCACAUGCCUUAGUGCAGUGACUCCUCAUCAUUUUAUGGGGUGUGGGUGUCGUUGGUACACCCAUUUUACAGAUGAGGACACCGAGGCCCAGAAAAGUUAAGUUACAUGUCCUAAGUCACACAGCUUGUAAGUGCCAGAACUGAGAUCAAAACCAAGUCUCUUUGACUUUAAAGUCUGUACUCUGACCCCAAAGAGAUCCUGUUUGGCCACUUAUAGGAGGUCCCUAAAGCUGCAGACUCCCCUUGCCGGCACCCACAUAUAGAGACAUUAACCCUUCCCCUGCAGGGUCACCUCAAAUAGUCUUUUAGCUGGGCUUCUCCUGCAAUUCCACCUAAUGCCAUCCCCUGGGUUUUGCCCAAACCUGAACUGGGCAGUGGGGUGAGAGGAGGGGUUUACAGGGUUACAGAGCCUCAUACAGAUAGGAGCCCAUGGCUGCUGGUCAUCUGCAUUCCUGCAGGAUUGGCUGUUCCUUGGGGUCCUUGGCAGGAAAAUGAGGAUUGCUCCGAGGCCUGCUCCAGUACUUCCCAGAGGCUGGCCUGGUGUGGGGCUCUGGGAAGGCUGAGGCUGGAGAAGCGUAAGUAGGAGGGCAGAGAUGGCACUCAGGUAGCUUGAAUCACCAGGACCCUUCCAAGCCCCACAGGUUCUGAGGGAGUACUAGGGCCAGCUCUGGGAGAGGUCUCUUCCUAUGCUGUGAACCCCCUGCCUUUCUUGCAGCCUACAACGAAUAAAUUUUCUUUGCAA